GUCUGAACGCUCUAAAAUCUGAAACUCCUGUUGUGCAAGCAGAAGCAGGACGAAGCAGAUUCAGAAAAGCGACGGUCCAGGUUGAAGGUGGCGAGCGACGCCGGCAUCCGACGGUGGAAAUUCAGGCAGGCCCGAUGAAUAAGAAAAUCUUGAUUGGAUGGCUACGACUGUUGACUGAGAAAUAACUAUUCUUAGACGACUGAGAAAUAGACACUCCCAAAAAAUUAUGGGAAUGGUUUUCUCCGUUCAAUCGGCAUGAUCGAUUGGUUCGCUUAGAUCAAUCAUACAGUGCAGUGCCGGGAAACUGAACUGAAACUGUCAAGAAAUUACUUCGUGAGGAAUCUUGGGAGGUGGUGGUCUUGUCGGUACCCAUCACAGUGGUGUGUGCAGACGUGGAUUUUGAUUGAUCCACCGUUGAAAGUUGAGAAGACCCGUCGUAUCAGCAAAAGAAGAAGGAGAAGAUAAUCUUCUCCCGAGCUGUUGCUUCUACUCCAUGAACAAGGAACCCCUGGUUCGACUUGGGAGAUAAUCUAUGGAGACGAGUCUUGAUAAGUUAACAUCAAUCGUUGUCAUCUAGAAGCGUUGAUUUGGACCGAGAGAGAGACAGAGAUCAAAUCAACGCGGUGUUUUUAGCUGCAACGCAUCGAACAGAUUUUGGCCCUUGUAUAUAUGUUAGCACACUUGAGUGGGAGUGGAAAGAGCCUUUUGGCCACUGCCAAUCUGCUGCCGCUGCUCGAUCGAUCCAGGUCUUAUAUAUAUCCUGAAUUAGUUUGGUUA